ACUAAAAGAAGUUUCGCUGAAAGAACACUGCUUAAUCGAAGAAUGAAUGUAUAAACUUAAACGGAAGACGUCUACUUUGUUGAACUCUAGCCAAAUCAAUCUUGCUUCUUUCUAGGAACAUGGGCCACACUGUGUUGUUAACGCUGACGAACAAAUUUACAGAAUCUACGCCCUGAAAAGGUAAAUAUAGAAUUAACUAAACGUUCCCAAAAAGAUUACAGUGACAAUAGCAAUAUUUCUUAACUACUGCGCACCACUCGUCGUCCUGUUUCGAAUAUCACUUCUUAUUGUACGUAAGUAAAAUUGAUAAUCCGGACAUCGUACCUCUUCCAUUCUAUAAUCGAAAGAACGAUGGCUUAGAUGAUUAUGUUAGGUUAAGGAACGCAGUAGAAUAAGUUAUAUUUCGCAAUUGAGCGUGAUCGUUAUUAAUAAAUUCACUCGCGGAAAUCGCAUUUUUGGUAUUCGUCGCUAUAUAAAAUCUGAGUGAACGUUAGAUAAAAUAUUCUAAUUAACUAAUAAUUCUAAUUAACGAGAGGACGAAGCUCGAGUGCAACGCUUGGCACGAGACAAUUUAGAAUGGCGGAUUAAGCGGCAGGAAGGAAGCUAUGGACCGUCGCGCGUAUGCAUACGUCAUCAUUCCAAUGGCUUCCCCGCGUGUUUGUUGUUUCGAUCUAUUUGUAUGAGAAUAUCGAAACGUUAAAAAUAUGAUAUACGAAGUUAAAAACUAUCUAAACGGAUAUCUUGUUACACCAAACUGUAAAAAUUAUUCGUUUCAAUUUGACGCCUGUAUAACUAAACGUUCAUGUAGCGACUAUUGCGACGAGAAAUAAUAAUCUUUUUCAACUAACGCUUACCAGUCGUCGUUGUGUGUCGUACACCAUUUAUUAUUGUAAAUAAGUAAAAUUGAUGAGGAAAAUGCGAACGUCGUAACUCUUCCGUUGUACGAUCGUAAAUAACGAUUGCUUAUAUCGUUAUGUUAGGUUAAGGAACGCGGUACAAUUUACGAUUCGCAGUUGGGCGCGACCGAUGUUAACAAAUUUUAUCGGAAAAAUCGCGUUUUCGGCAUUCGAUCGGUAUAUAAAAUAAUGGUGCACGUUAAAUAAAAUAUUUUAAUUACCUGCAAUUAACGAGAGGACGAAGCUUGGUUGGGACACGUGCCACGAACUGAUUCAGAAUGGCGGAUUAAGCGGCAACAAGGAAGCUGUAUCGUCGAGCAUGCGCGUUACGUCAGCUUUGCAAUGGCUUCCCCACGUGCUUGUUGUUUCGAUCUAUUUGUAUAGAAAUAUCAAAACGUUAAAAAUAUGAUAUACGAAGUUAAAAACUAUCGAAACGGAUAUCUUGCUACAUAAAAUUAUGAAAAUUAAUCGUUACGAUUUGAUAAAAUGUUCGAGUAAGGAUUACAGCGAUAAUAAAUAAGAACCUUUUUCGACUAAUGCUUACCACUCGUCGUCGUGUGUCCAACACCAUUUCUCAUUGUAAAUAAGUAAAAUUGAAGACGAAAAUCCAGACGUCGUACCUCUCCCAUUCUAUAAUCAAAAGUAACGAUGGCUUGUAUGGUUGUUAGGUUAAGGAACGCGGUAGAAUAAGUUAUAUUUCGUAGUCGAGCGUGAUCGAUGUUAAUAAAUUUACCCGCGGAUAUCGCUUUUUCGACGUUCGAUCGGUAUGUAAAAUAAUGGUACACGUUGAAUAAACUAUUCUAAUUAACUGCAAUUAACGAACGGACGAAGCUCUGUUGCGACGCGUGCCACGAAACGAUUUGAAAUGGCGGAUUAGGCGGCAGGAAGGAAGCUAUGGACCGUCGCGCGUACGCAUUACGUCAUCUUUCCAAUGGCUUCCCCGCGUGUUUGUUGUUUCGAUCUAUUUGUAUGAGAAUAUCGAAACGUUUAUAAUAUGAUAUACGAAGUUAAAAACUAUCUAAACGGAUAUCUUGUUACACCAAACUGUAAAAAUUAUUCGUUUCAAUUUGACGCCUGUAUAACUAAACGUUCAUGUAGCGACUAUUGCGACGAGAAAUAAUAAUCUUUUUCAACUAACGCUUACCAGUCGUCGUUAUAUGUCGAACACCAUUUAUUAUUGUAAAUAAGUAAAAUUGAUGACGAAAAUCCGAAAGUCGUAGCUCUUCUAUUGUAUAACCGCAAAGAACGAUUGUUUACACGUUUAUGUUAGGUUAAGGAAGGUAGGACGAUAAUUUACAAUUCGCAGUUGAGCGCGAUCGGUGUUAACAAAUUUUAUCCGCUCAAAUCGUGUUUUCUGCAUUCAAUCGCUAUAUAAAAUAAUGACGCACGUUAAAUAAAAUAUUCUAAUUACCUGCAGUCAACGAGAGGACGAAGCUGGCUUGCGACAAACGCCACGAAAUAAUUCAGAAUGGCGGAGUAAGCGGCAGCAAGAAAGAUGUGGACCGUCGUACGUACAUAUUACGUCAUCUUUCCAAUGGCUUCCCCACGUGCUUGUAAAGUUUCGAUCUAUUUGUAUGAAAAUAUCGGAACGUUAAAAAUAUGAUAUACGAAGUUAAAAACUAUCUAAACGGAUAUCUUGCUAUACCGAACUGUGAAAAUUAAUCAUUUCGAUUUGACGCCUGUAUAACUAAACGUUCACGUAAAGAUUGCAACGAUAAUAAAUAACAAUGUUUUUCAACUAAUGCUUACCAGUCGUCGUUGUCGUGUGUCCAACAUCAUUUCUCAUUGUAAAUAAGUAAAAUUGAUGACGAAAAUGCAAACGUCGUAGUUCUUCCAUUGUAUAAUCGAAAAUAACGAUGGCUUGUAUGGUUGUUAGGUUAAGGAACGCAGCAGAAUAUAUUUCGUAGUUGAGCGUGAUCGAUGUUAAUAAAUUCACCCGUGGAAAUAGCGUUUUCGACGUUCGAUCGAUAUACAAAAUUAGAGCGUACGUUGGAUAAAAUAUUCUAAUUAACUGCAAUUAACGAACGGACGAAGCUCUGUUGCGACGCGUGCCACGAAACGAUUUGAAAUGGCGGAUUAGGCGGCAGGAAGGAAGCUAUGGACCGUCCCGCGUACGCGUUACGUCAUCUUUACAAUGGCUUCCCCACGUGUUUGUUGUUUCGAUCUGUUUGUAUAAUAAUAUGGAAACGUUAAAAAUAUGAUAUACGAAAUUAAAAACUAUCUAAACGGAUAUCUUGCUGCAUCAGACUGUGAAAAUUAAUCAUUUCGAUUUGAUAUCUGUAGAAAUAAAGCUCGUAAACGUGAAAAUAUAUUUGUAAGGAAAAUGUUCGUGCGCCCGCGUACGAUUAUUUUUCAUAUAAAUGUAUAUUAUUUUCGAUGUUAGUACGCUUUUAGUUUCUGCUUUUAGAAAGAGAGAGUAACCAUCCGAUUCGUUCAAAGGUCCAUUUUUGUUGACAGUCCAUUACUCGUUUUUUUAUGUUGGUUUACGCCAACGAUAAAUACAGGUAUAAUUUUUUAACGAUUUUGACGAACGAGAUCGCUUCAAAGAUGAAUAUUCGAGUGAGAAUACGAUUCUUCCGAACUUUCGAAUACGCGCUUCGUUUUGUUUGAAAAAAUCGUGUCAAAAAAUGAUGUUUUCUCGACGAUAAUUCACGCAUAAAAGUAAAGGAUAAGGUUAAUUUUAAAAUUAGAUAGUUUAAAUCGUCGUUAUAGCAGUCUCGUUGCGCGCACAUAAGUUUGUCUGUUUUUGAAUACAUACAAAGAGGCUCUUCGUAGAAAAAGAAGGAUAACAUUAGUUUAUAGAUAAUAGCUUAAAGAUUCCUUUACCUAUUGUUUCCGGCAAACAACGAAAGAAAAACCGGUCGAGCGUGAUAAAUUGUUGUUACCACGUAUGUAUAUGUACAUCGUAUACAAUUCGGAGAAUUUGGGAAGUCUUGUAGUGAAAAGUAUUUGUAAAUAAACGAGGGACGAUCGGAGAGAUCGACCUUGGCACGACUUCUCUCCAUUCGUCGUCCUUACAACGCGUUAGUCGCAGUAUUCCUUCCUCUCGGCAGCUGUCCGGACGUGUUCUAUCUAGACAAGGCAUAAUUCUAACAACGCUUGCAGCGCUUAACAAGAGGACGAAGCUGGUUAUAACACGUGCCAUAAAAUAAACGGUAACAAGGAGACUUAGUGGACCGUCGUGUAUACGCAUUACGUCACGUGUGCAAUGAUUCGCAGGGAAAGGUGGACAUAUAAUAUUAUAAUCGAUGUCUAUUAUUUUUGAUGCAUAUAUUAUAAAUAAAAGUAAAAAAACUUUUAUGACGAGGAUUAAUUUAAAAAAUACUAAAUGUGCUUUGUGCAAUAUAUUUAAAUUUCAUAAAAAAAUGAACGGUUUAUACACUUAGUUUUAAUUGUGUAUUUAAUAGAAAUUAAAGAUAGAAUAUAAAUAGUUUAUGAUA